rnacentral:rRNA from 1 species
AUUGAACGCUGGCGGCAUGCCUUACACAUGCAAGUCGAACGGCAGCACGGGAGCAAUCCUGGUGGCGAGUGGCGAACGGGUGAGUAAUAUAUCGGAACGUGCCCAGUCGUGGGGGAUAACGUAGCGAAAGCUACGCCACUACCGCAUACGCCCUACGGGGGCAAGGGGGGGAUCGCAAGACCUCUCACUAUUAGAGCGGUCGGUAUCGGAUUAGCUAGUUGGUGAGGUAAAGGCUCACCAAGGCGACGAUCCGUAGCUGGUUUGAGAGGACGACCAGCCACACUGGGACUGAGACACUGCCCAGACUCCUACGGGAGGCAGCAGUGGGGAAUUUUGGACAAUGGGGGCAACCCUGAUCCAGCCAUUCCGCGUGUGCGAUGAAGGCCUUCGGGUUGUAAAGCACUUUUGGCAGGAAAGAAAUCGCACGGGAUAACACCCCGUGUGGAUGACGGUACCUGCAGAAUAAGCACCGGCUAACUACGUGCCAGCAGCCGCGGUAACAC